rnacentral:rRNA from 1 species
UACGUAGGGUGCAAGCGUUGUCCGGAAUUAUUGGGCGUAAAGAGCUCGUAGGCGGUUUGUCGCGUCUGCUGUGAAAUCCCGAGGCUCAACCUCGGGCCUGCAGUGGGUACGGGCAGACUAGAGUGCGGUAGGGGAGAUUGGUAUUCCUGGUGUAGCGGUGGAAUGCGCAGAUAUCAGGAGGAACACCGAUGGCGAAGGCAGAUCUCUGGGCCGUAACUGACGCUGAGGAGCGAAAGCGUGGGGAGCGAACAGG